rnacentral:rRNA from 1 species
CCUACGGGUGGCAGCAGUGAGGAAUAUUGGUCAAUGGACGAGAGUCUGAACCAGCCAAGUAGCGUGAAGGAUGACUGCCCUAUGGGUUGUAAACUUCUUUUAUAUGGGAAUAAAACGUUCCACGUGUGGGAUUUUGUAUGUACCAUAUGAAUAAGGAUCGGCUAACUCCGUGCCAGCAGCCGCGGUAAUACGGAGGAUCCGAGCGUUAUCCGGAUUUAUUGGGUUUAAAGGGAGCGUAGGUGGAUUGUUAAGUCAGUUGUGAAAGUUUGCGGCUCAACCGUAAAAUUGCAGUUGAAACUGGCAGUCUUGAGUACAGUAGAGGUGGGCGGAAUGCGUGGUGUAGCGGUGAAAUGCUUAGAUAUCAUGAAGAACUCCGAUUGCGAAGGCAGUUCACUGGACUGCAACUGACACUGAGGCUCGAAAGUGUGGGUAUCAAACAGGAUUAGAUACCCUGGUAGUC